rnacentral:rRNA from 1 species
GAUGAACGCUAGCUACAGGCUUAACACAUGCAAGUCGAGGGGCAGCAUUUUAGUUUGCUUGCAAACUGAAGAUGGCGACCGGCGCACGGGUGAGUAACACGUAUCCAACCUGCCGAUAACUCCGGAAUAGCCUUUCGAAAGAAAGAUUAAUACCGGAUAGCAUACGAAUAUCGCAUGAUAUUUUUAUUAAAGAAUUUCGGUUAUCGAUGGGGAUGCGUUCCAUUAGUUUGUUGGCGGGGUAACGGCCCACCAAGACAACGAUGGAUAGGGGUUCUGAGAGGAAGGUCCCCCACAUUGGAACUGAGACACGGUCCAAACUCCUACGGGAGGCAGCAGUGAGGAAUAUUGGUCAAUGGGCGAGAGCCUGAACCAGCCAAGUAGCGUGAAGGAUGAAGGCUCUAUGGGUCGUAAACUUCUUUUAUAUGGGAAUAAAGUUUUCCACGUGUGGAAUUUUGUAUGUACCAUAUGAAUAAGGAUCGGCUAACUCCGUGCCAGCAGCCGCGGUAAUACGGAGGAUCCGAGCGUUAUCCGGAUUUAUUGGGUUUAAAGGGAGCGUAGGUGGAUUGUUAAGUCAGUUGUGAAAGUUUGCGGCUCAACCGUAAAAUUGCAGUUGAAACUGGCAGUCUUGAGUACAGUAGAGGUGGGCGGAAUUCGUGGUGUAGCGGUGAAAUGCUUAGAUAUCACGAAGAACUCCGAUUGCGAAGGCAGCUCACUAGACUGUCACUGACACUGAUGCUCGAAAGUGUGGGUAUCAAACAGGAUUAGAUACCCUGGUAGUCCACACAGUAAACGAUGAAUACUCGCUGUUUGCGAUAUACAGUAAGCGGCCAAGCGAAAGCAUUAAGUAUUCCACCUGGGGAGUACGCCGGCAACGGUGAAACUCAAAGGAAUUGACGGGGGCCCGCACAAGCGGAGGAACAUGUGGUUUAAUUCGAUGAUACGCGAGGAACCUUACCCGGGCUUAAAUUGCAACAGAAUAUAUUGGAAACAGUAUAGCCGUAAGGCUGUUGUGAAGGUGCUGCAUGGUUGUCGUCAGCUCGUGCCGUGAGGUGUCGGCUUAAGUGCCAUAACGAGCGCAACCCUUAUCUUUAGUUACUAACAGGUGAUGCUGAGGACUCUAGAGAGACUGCCGUCGUAAGAUGUGAGGAAGGUGGGGAUGACGUCAAAUCAGCACGGCCCUUACGUCCGGGGCUACACACGUGUUACAAUGGGGGGUACAGAAGGCGGCUACCUGGUGACAGGAUGCUAAUCCCAAAAACCUCUCUCAGUUCGGAUCGAAGUCUGCAACCCGACUUCGUGAAGCUGGAUUCGCUAGUAAUCGCGCAUCAGCCAUGGCGCGGUGAAUACGUUCCCGGGCCUUGUACACACCGCCCGUCAAGCCAUGAAAGCCGGGGGUACCUGAAGUACGUAACCGCAAGGAGCGUCCUAGGGUA